rnacentral:lncRNA from 1 species
AGGGGGCAGUUGCGGGACAUCAGCAGCAUGUCGUUGGUGGGGGACCAUUAAAGCCACAUGUUAGGACCCAGGGAGUGGGGCUCAGGGCAGCAGCAGCAUAGCCCCAUCAAUGAUUCAUAGCCAUGGCCUGGGACCUGAGGGUGGAGCUCAGGGCAGCAUCAGUGUGGUCCUGGUGAUGGUCAAAUCAUGACCUAGGACCCAGGGAGUGGGGCUCAGGGCAGCAGAGGCUGCCCCUGUAAUAGUGGAACAAAGCUGUGCCCUGAGACUGAGGGCGGGGCUCAGGGCAGGUGCAGCUGCCAUCUUGAUUUGGUGAGGUGCUGUGGUGUCCUGAUCCCAGAGAGCAAGGCACAGCAGCAACUGGGGCCUCUGAGGGCAGGGCUCAUCGCAGUGACAGAUCAGCUCUGGGAAGGGGACACCGAGGUGAGGGCUCUGGGCAGCUCCAUCAGCUGGGAUCAGCGUUGGUGUAGACUGUGGAAGAACUCGCUGCAGGGGCUACAAACUUCCACAGGGACAAUGUUCUAUGACUCACCUUUGAAAUGAGAAUUUAUCAGCUUAGGGAUUCUUCUCUUUGAAUUGUCGGAAUAAGAAUAAACAUAACACCCCAAAGUCCUGUUUCCAUAGUCCUUGGCCCAUCACAAAGAUGGAGCCCAGCCUCACUGUUUGGAGAGGCUCUCAAGGCCACUGCCCCUUGAAUUCUGUGAUUGCCAUCUGCUUUUACAAGAGUCGACUGAAGGUGAUGCUUUAGACCCAGGAAGAUGUUGGAAAGCUGCACAGCCUGUGUCUUUGGACCCACAGAGACUGAUGUGAAUGUUAAGGCAAGAUGUCUUAUUUUUACUUUUUCUCCUGGUGCAGGGCGUCAAUUAGGAGGAUGAAGAACCACAGAAACUGAGCUCAGCGCCGGGCUCAUGUGGGCAGCGGGUAACUCACUUUCCGAUAACGCUCUGCGGUUUGCCUCGGCUCUGCCCCAGAUACUGAAUCUCUGUUCACAUCCAGCAGGGCCAGAUGGCGUUCCCAGGCCCACAGGGAAGUUAAUAUCUGUGCAGUGGUUUGUUUAAAAGUUUGAAUCUGAUUCUGUGAUUCAAGCCAGUAGUGUCAAACUUUAGCCAGGGGUGGCUUUUUCGGGGGAGCUUGGAGGGGUGAGAAGUUAUCCAAAUAUUGUGACAUGGG